GGACUUCAGAAAGAUCCUGUCACUUCCAUACCUACCACCUGGUCCAGAGCCUCAGUAAAUACUGCUUUGAGCUCUCAAAGAUCAUGUGCAACAAUGCUAUGAUUCAGGAUCAGGAAAUCAUUGAAGUAGAAAUGUCCUAAAGAUGAGGCCUUGAUGGAGUGGAAGUCCUAGAAGAGUAGAGUGGCUUUCUGGCUGCCAUGAAAAAUGGAUAAUUAUCCUCUGAAACUAUUUCAUCAGUGCUGGAGUGGGAUGAAAAUGAGAGGACUCAAGACAACUAGGGUAUUUGAGCACAAGAUGACAGCAACUCAACUCUAGUUUUAUUAAUCCAUCUGGGACAGAGGGGAUAAGGUAGGUCCUGGGCUUGUGCCUUCAUACAGGAAUUGAUUACAUUCUGACGGAUUCUGC
rnacentral:lncRNA from 1 species